UACGUAGGGUGCAAGCGUUGUCCGGAAUUAUUGGGCGUAAAGAGCUCGUGGGCGGCUUGUCGCGUCGGCUGUGAAAACCUGGGGCUCAACCCCGGGCCUGCAGCCGAUACGGGCAAGCUAGAAUUCGGUAGGGGAGACUGGAAUUCCUGGUGUAGCGGUGAAAUGCGCAGAUAUCAGGAGGAACACCGGUGGCGAAGGCGGGUCUCUGGACAGUUCCUGACACUGAGACACGAAGGCCAGGGGAGCAAACGGG
rnacentral:rRNA from 1 species